GGAUGUGAGGGCAAUCUGGCUGUGACAUCUGUCACCCCAUUGGUUGCCAGGGUUGAAUCUGCUGAUAUGGCUGGCUAGGUGGGUGUCCCCUUCACCUCUCCUUGUGCGUCCCUCUUGAAUCUGUUGAAAAGGACGACCUUCCCGACUAGAGGAGCGGCCUUGGGUCAGGGUGUAGGAGUAGCUGCCCUCCCCGCUAGAACCUCCGCACAGGCUCUCAGAAUAGUUUGACACAAUUGAUAUGUUUAAUGCUCUUUCAACGUUGGUUACUGUGAAUAUUU
rnacentral:snRNA from 1 species